GGAGGUAAAAGUCGUAACAAGGUUUCCGUAGGUGAACCUGCGGAAGGAUCAUUAAUGGGUUGUCAUGGGGUUCGAUGCUGGCAGCCAAUUUUUGGAUGCAUGUGCUUGCCCUAACAAUCAUCUUCCAAACACCUGUGCACAUUUUUGAGGGAGUCUUGAGUUGGUUGCCGCUCUUGGGUGAUUUUCUCACAUUCCCUUAAAUCAUUAUACGCUAUUAACAAUGUUGAACGUGCUCUGUGCCGCAAGGCUAUUAAUAUAAUACAACUUUUAACAACGGAUCUCUUGGCUCUC
rnacentral:misc_RNA from 1 species